rnacentral:rRNA from 1 species
AUGAACGCUAGCUACAGGCUUAACACAUGCAAGUCGAGGGGCAGCAUGAACUUAGCUUGCUAAGUUUGAUGGCGACCGGCGCACGGGUGAGUAACACGUAUCCAACCUGCCGAUGACUCGGGGAUAGCCUUUCGAAAGAAAGAUUAAUACCCGAUGGCAUAGUUCUUCCGCAUGGUAGAACUAUUAAAGAAUUUCGGUCAUCGAUGGGGAUGCGUUCCAUUAGGUUGUUGGCGGGGUAACGGCCCACCAAGCCUUCGAUGGAUAGGGGUUCUGAGAGGAAGGUCCCCCACAUUGGAACUGAGACACGGUCCAAACUCCUACGGGAGGCAGCAGUGAGGAAUAUUGGUCAAUGGACGAGAGUCUGAACCAGCCAAGUAGCGUGAAGGAUGACUGCCCUAUGGGUUGUAAACUUCUUUUAUACGGGAAUAAAGUGAGGCACGUGUGCCUUUUUGUAUGUACCGUAUGAAUAAGGAUCGGCUAACUCCGUGCCAGCAGCCGCGGUAAUACGGAGGAUCCGAGCGUUAUCCGGAUUUAUUGGGUUUAAAGGGAGCGUAGGCGGACGCUUAAGUCAGUUGUGAAAGUUUGCGGCUCAACCGUAAAAUUGCAGUUGAUACUGGGUGUCUUGAGUACAGUAGAGGCAGGCGGAAUUCGUGGUGUAGCGGUGAAAUGCUUAGAUAUCACGAAGAACUCCGAUUGCGAAGGCAGCUUGCUGGACUGUAACUGACGCUGAUGCUCGAAAGUGUGGGUAUCAAACAGGAUUAGAUACCCUGGUAGUCCACACAGUAAACGAUGAAUACUCGCUGUUUGCGAUAUACAGUAAGCGGCCAAGCGAAAGCGUUAAGUAUUCCACCUGGGGAGUACGCCGGCAACGGUGAAACUCAAAGGAAUUGACGGGGGCCCGCACAAGCGGAGGAACAUGUGGUUUAAUUCGAUGAUACGCGAGGAACCUUACCCGGGCUUGAAUUGCAACUGAAUGAUGUGGGGACAUGUCAGACGCAAGGCAGUUGUGAAGGUGCUGCAUGGUUGUCGUCAGCUCGUGUCGUGAGAUGUUGGGUUAAGUCCCGCAACGAGCGCAACCCCUGUACUUAGUUGCCAGCAUGUAGAGAUGGGAACUCUAAGUAGACUGCCGCGAAUAACGCGGAGGAAGGUGGGGAUGACGUCAAAUCAUCAUGCCCUUUAUGUCCUGGGCUACACACGUACUACAAUGGCGUUUAACAGAGAGAAGCAAGACCGCGAGGUGGAGCAAAACUCAGAAACAACGUCUCAGUUCAGAUUGCAGGCUGCAACUCGCCUGCAUGAAGUUGGAAUUGCUAGUAAUCGCGGAUCAGAAUGCCGCGGUGAAUACGUUCCCGGGCCUUGUACACACCGCCCGUCACACCAUGAGAGUCGAUAACACCCGAAGCCUGUGAGCUAACCUAUUAGGAGGCAGCAGUCGAAGGUGGGGUUGAUGAUUGGGGUG